rnacentral:rRNA from 1 species
GACGAACGCUGGCGGCGUGCUUAACACAUGCAAGUCGAACGGAAAGGCCUGCUUUCCCUUGUGGAUUGCGGGUACUCGAGUGGCGAAUGGGUGAGUAACACGUGAGUGAUCUGCCCCCAACUUGGGUAUAAGCCUGGGAAACUGGGUCUAAUUCCCGAUAGGACUGCAGGGUGGUGCCUGUGGUGGAAAACGAUUUUCUAGUGGUUGGGGAUGAGCUCGCGGCCUAUCAGCUUGUUGGUGGGGUAAUGGCCUACCAAGGCGGCGACGGGUAGCCGGCCUGAGAGGGUGGACGGCGACAUUGGGACUGAGAUACGGCCCAGACUCCUACGGGAGGCAGCAGUGGGGAAUAUUGCACAAUGGGCGGAAGCCUGAUGCAGCGACGCCGCGUGGGGGAUGACGGCCUUCGGGUUGUAAACUCCUUUCGACCGCGAGGAAGCCACCUGGUUGGAAGGGUGGUGACGGUAGUGGUAGAAGAAGCACCGGCUAACUACGUG